GACGAACGCUGGCGGCGUGCCUAAUACAUGCAAGUAGAACGCUGAAGAGAGGAGCUUGCUCUUCUUGGAUGAGUUGCGAACGGGUGAGUAACGCGUAGGUAACCUGCCUUGUAGCGGGGGAUAACUAUUGGAAACGAUAGCUAAUACCGCAUAACAAUGGAUGACACAUGUCAUUUAUUUGAAAGGGGCAAUUGCUCCACUACAAGAUGGACCUGCGUUGUAUUAGCUAGUAGGUGAGGUAAUGGCUCACCUAGGCGACGAUACAUAGCCGACCUGAGAGGGUGAGCGGCCACACUGGGACUGAGACACGGCCCAGACUCCUACGGGAGGCAGCAGUAGGGAAUCUUCGGCAAUGGGGGCAACCCUGACCGAGCAACGCCGCGUGAGUGAAGAAGGGUUUCGGAUCGUAAAGCUCGGUUGUAAGUCAAGAACGGGUGUGAGAGUGGAAAGUUCACACUGUGACGGUAGCUUACCAGAAAGGGACGGCUAGCUACGUG
rnacentral:rRNA from 1 species